rnacentral:rRNA from 1 species
UACGCAGGCGGAAAAUUAAGUCAGUGGUGAAAUCCUGCAGCUUAACUGUAGAACUGUCAUUGAUACUGGUUUUCUUGAAUGUAGUUGAGGUAGGCGGAAUGUGUAAUGUAGCGGUGAAAUGCUUAGAUAUUACACAGAACACCGAUUGCGAAGGCAGCUUACUAAGCUACUAUUGACGCUGAGGUACGAAAGCGUGGGGAGCGAACAGGAUUAGAUACCCUGGUAGUC